rnacentral:rRNA from 1 species
AUUGAACGCUGGCGGCAUGCCUAACACAUGCAAGUCGAACGGUAACGACGGGAGCUUGCUCCCGGGCGACGAGUGGCGGACGGGUGAGUAAUACUUGGGAAUCUGCCCAGUAGUGGGGGACAACAUUCGGAAACGGAUGCUAAUACCGCAUACGCUCUACGGAGGAAAGUGGAGGAUCUUCGGACUUCACGCUAUUGGAUGAGCCCAAGUCGGAUUAGCUUGUAGGUGGGGUAACGGCCUACCUAGGCGACGAUCCGUAGCUGGUCUGAGAGGACGAUCAGCCACACUGGAACUGAGACACGGUCCAGACUCCUACGGGAGGCAGCAGUGGGGAAUAUUGGACAAUGGGGGCAACCCUGAUCCAGCAAUGCCGCGUGUGUGAAGAAGGCCUGCGGGUUGUAAAGCACUUUCAGUGGAGAAGAAAAGCCUACGGUUAAUACCCGUGAGUCUUGACGUAACCCACAGAAGAAGCACCGGCUAACUCCGUG